GACGAACGCGGGCGGCGUGCUUAACACAUGCAAGUCGAACGUGAUUUUUGUGGAAAUUCUUUCGGGAAUGGAAAUGAAAUGAAAGUGGCGAACGGGUGAGUAACACGUGAGCAACCUACCUUACACAGGGGGAUAGCCGUUGGAAACGACGAUUAAUACCGCAUGAGACCACAGAAUCGCAUGAUAUAGGGGUCAAAGAUUUAUCGGUGUAAGAAGGGCUCGCGUCUGAUUAGCUAGUUGGAAGGGUAAAGGCCUACCAAGGCGACGAUCAGUAGCCGGUCUGAGAGGAUGAACGGCCACAUUGGAACUGAGACACGGUCCAAACUCCUACGGGAGGCAGCAGUGGGGAAUAUUGCACAAUGGGGGGAACCCUGAUGCAGCGACGCCGCGUGAGCGAAGAAGGUUUUCGAAUCGUAAAGCUCUGUCCUAUGAGAAGAUAAUGACGGUAUCAUAGGAGGAAGCCCCGGCUAAAUACGUGCCAGCAGCCGCGGUAAUACGUAUGGGGCGAGCGUUGUCCGGAAUUAUUGGGCGUAAAGGGUACGUAGGCGGUUUUUUAAGUCAGGUGUGAAAGCGUGAGGCUUAACCUCAUUAAGCACUUGAAACUGGAAGGCUUGAGUGAAGGAGAGGAAAGUGGAAUUCCUAGUGUAGCGGUGAAAUGCGUAGAUAUUAGGAGGAAUACCGGUGGCGAAGGCGACUUUCUGGACUUUUACUGACGCUCAGGUACGAAAGCGUGGGGAGCAAACAGG
rnacentral:rRNA from 1 species